CGGAAGCGGUCACUGCGGCUGGAAACCCGAGGCUCCAUGGGAGGUCCCUUAGUGUCCCUGAGCGCCUGCCUGGAGGAAGAGGGCAUCCAGUGGCUCUGCAAAUACCUGAAGAACGCGCAGGGGACGCUAAUGCAGGCUUAGGUGGACCUGAAAUUCUCAGCAUGGAUCCAAGAGUUGCAAAGAAUAUAAUUUCCAAC